AACGGCCAUACCAUGCUGAAUAUACCGGUUCUCGUUAGAUCACCGAAGUCAAGCAUCAUUGGGCGCUGUCAAUACUUGGGUGGGUGACCACCUGAGAACACCGCGUGCCGUU
rnacentral:rRNA from 1 species